AACGCAGCGAAGGGCGAUAAGCAAUGCGAAUUGCAGAACCGUGAGUCAUCAGAUUUUUGAACGCAACUGGCACUGCUUGGCUAUCCAGGCAGUAUGCCUGUUUGAGUGUCAUGGAAUUCUCAACUUCUAAUACUUUUUUGUAUCAGAAGCUUGGAUUUGGAGGCUCGUGCUGGCUCUCUCGUUAGAGUCGGCUCCUCUUAAAUGAAUUAGCGUGAAUCACUAUGGAUCGCUUCGGUGUGAUAAUUAUCUGCGCCGUAGUCGUGAAGUAUUAAUAAAAGUUCUCGCUUCUAAUCGUCCUUCACGGGACAAUUAACCCUGACUUUUUGACCUCAAAUCAGGUAGGACUACCCGCUGAACUUAA
rnacentral:rRNA from 1 species